rnacentral:rRNA from 1 species
UACGUAGGUGGCGAGCGUUGUCCGGAAUUACUGGGCGUAAAGGGCGCGUAGGCGGGAUAGCAAGUCUGUUGUGAAAUUGCGGGGCUCAACCCCGUAUUGGCAAUGGAAACUGCUAUUCUUGAGUGCAGGAGAGGAAAGCGGAAUUCCCAGUGUAGCGGUGAAAUGCGUAGAUAUUGGGAGGAACACCAGUGGCGAAGGCGGCUUUCUGGCCUGUGUCUGACGCUGAGGCGCGAAAGCCAGGGGAGCGAACGGG